ACUAUACAUACAUCCCACGUUCCCCCUCUUUUCCAGGGACAAUUAUUUUACAUCUUGUUUGACCAGAAGUAUAGCCUGAAAUAAAAACAAAGAAGGAAGGAAGGAAGGGGAAGGGAGAGAGGGGUCGCUUCUUUUUCGUUCUCCCAUUCCGGUCUUUCUAGGGUUUUUGACCGGGGAGAGGAGAAAAGAUAAGGUGACCGGGGAGAGGAGAAAAGAGAUCUUUUUUUGACUAUCUUUCUCCGUUAUCUUUUCUCCUCCGAUCUCUUUUUCCCCCACUUCUCCUCGUUCCCCUCUCUCGAUCUUCCAGGGGAAUUGGAUUUGGUGUUGGGACUCUGAGACGGAAGGCAAGAGGGGAGAUGAAAUCGCCUCUGAGGAAGUUCCGAGGCUUCACGGUCCACCGUCAUGAUGCCAAGGAGAAGAGGGACCAUCGUCACCCUCUGGAGAAGCUGGAUGACCUCGUCGAGGCCGCCCAGGACAUGCAAGACGUGAGAAGCUGCUAUGACAGCUUACUUUCUGCAGCAGCUGCCACUGCAAAUGGUGCAUAUGAGUUCUCAGAAGCAUUGCAGGAAAUGGGCACAUGUUUGCUUGAAAAAACUGCAUUGAAUGAUGAUGAGGAUAGUGGCAGGGUUUUGUUGAUGUUGGGGAAAGCACAAUUUGCACUUCAGAAACUUGUAGAUAGCUAUCGUACCCAUAUCAUCCAGACAAUUCAAAAACCAUCCGAGUCUCUUCUCAAGGAACUUCAAACUGUGGAGGAGAUGAAAUGCCAAUGUGAUGAUAAAAGGUACAAACCUGCUGCAAUUUUCUGUUUAUUUUUCUUCUUCUUUGAAGUGAUUUUCUUCUGGGAUAUCUUCUUCAGAGAGAUCUAUAAAUUAAUGCUGGAGGCACAUCAAGCAAAAGGGAGGUCAAGACGUGCUAAAGGUGAAACUUACUUAACACAACAGUUGCUAGCAGCUCGAGAUGAUUAUGUAGAGGAGGCAGCCCUAUUUGCUUUUCGCUUGAAAUCAUUGAAGCAAGGUCAAUCUCGAAGCCUUCUAACACAGGCAGCUCGCCAUCAUGCCGCACAGUUAAAUUUUUUCAGAAAAGGACUUAAAUCCCUUGAACUGGUUGAACCACAUGUUAAAGAAGUUGCUGAACAACAACAUAUUGAUUAUCAUUUCAGUGGACUUGAUGAUGAAACAGACAACAAUGGUGAUGAUUAUUCUGGUUAUGAUAGCAGUGAUGAUGGGGAGUUGAGUUUUGACUAUGGACAAAAUGACCAAUAUCAAGAUGAUGUUUUUGCAAGUAGAUGUUCACUGGAGGAAAAUUUAGAUAAGAAUCAAAAUGAUUUCUUCACUUUCAGUAGGAGGCCUGGGGCUGGCAGCCAAUCAGCACCAAUUUUUGCUGAUAAGAAGUUUGGUCCAUCUGAUAAGAUGAAAGAAACCCAACCUCUAUCAACAAGAAAGUUUCACAGUUAUGUUCUACCCACACCUUGUGAAGCUAAGGACUCAGACUCCAUGGGGCCUGUGAAUAAAUUUUCUGCAGAUCAUCCAGAAAGCAAGGGUGUCCGGCCCACACAGUUGUGGCAUUCAUCUCCACUGGUGGCAAAUAAGCUUGUGAAAGAUCCCAGAGAUAACGAAUUAUCAAACCCUUCCAGGGUAAAGAAAGUGCAGUCAGUACUCAAGGAGAGCAACAUUAAUAGUGGUCCCAUCCGCAUGCCUUCUCCCUCGGCGGAGGGGAUUCCAUGGCUGCAAUGUGACCCAUGCAGUGUUUCUAAUACUAAAAACAUCGAAAGACAGUUUUUCUCUGGUCCACUGCCAGGUAAAGCAUGGUCAAGCAAGGUGAUGUUUUCUGGCACCGACUACAGAUCCUCCAUGGAUUAUUCUCCUAUAUUUUCUGAGAAGUCAGCACGUAUCCCCACAAAACGGCCAAUGAUGUCCUCAAAAGUGUCUCCUGGCACCUCACCUCCUCCUAUAUCAUCUGCAAAAAUUACGGAACUUCAUGAGCUUCCUAGACCUCCCACCAACUUAGCAAAUCCUGCAAGACCUUCCACUCUGAUUGGCUAUUCAGGUCCUUUAAUUUCUAGGAGUCGGGUGCUUGCAGCAACAAGCAGAAUGCCAUCAAAUGCAUCACCUACAGCAUCACCACUACCAGCACCACCUGGUCCAAUGGCUCGCAGUUUUUCUAUUCCUUCUGGCGGUCAUAGAAAGCCGGUUUUACCAGUUGCUAAGUUGUUAGAAGCUCCUCAUAAUCCAGAUUUGAGUGAAGAGGUCGCUUCACCUCCUCUGACACCUAUAUCUCUAACAAUUGUUCAUCCAGCUUCAGAAGCUACAAAAUCAGAUAGUUGAGUAUGAAAACAUAAGUAAACAAUUCUACCAAAAGAAAUUUGCCUCCGGGUCUGACUACUUUUUCCAAAGGAUGCCAAACAUUGCCUAGUCUUCUGCCAAAUUUUUGGCCACUUUCUGAUGGGUAUCUGUUGAGUGAAAAUGUUCUGAUCCAUCAAAUCUUGGACCUCCUCUUCGUAUUAUUGAGCUCAAAGGGUCAGAAAAAUGCAACCAAAGUAUGGUAGCAGUAAAAGACUUGCAGAUCCUCCAUUUUGGAGGAUUUUGUUUGGAUCUGAACCAUUAGCAAAGAACAGUCCUUAUAUUCUCACCAUUUGUUGGAGUCUUGUGAUUAAUUUCACCUUGCUUGGGCCGUCCAGAGCUGGCUGUCAUCCUGCGAUUUUGCAUAUAAUAGCAUGUGCAUUCCUAGUUUCUCCCAUGAAUCUAAUUUUUUUGGUUCCCUAUGAUGAUGAAAGAAAAUUGUAAGCGGCAAAUAGUGAAUCUUUUUGUAUUCUAUGAUUCAUUAAUUGAAGAAUUUAAUUCCAUUAAACAACCAUCAAAGCUUUUUUUUUUUUCCUCCAAGUUUCAUUCUUUAUUGAGUUUGGUGAUAUCGAUGUGGAAAUUCUCUAAGACUGACGUGGAUCUCACAUUUGUGUCAGUGUUUGGAGGUUUAAAGAUCUCUGAAGUUGUGGCCUUCUCUUUGCCAGAAACCAUUAAUAAGGAGCCCUCAGAUCUAGAUCUAAUGUUCAGUUAUGAGGACAACUGCUAAAAUUUGUGAAUGAACUGAGUGCUGGAAAAUAUCAUUCUCAACUUAAGUUGGAUACCAUCUUGUGAUCAGUUAAAUUCGGUCCUUCGUGACAUGCCAAUAGCAUGCAGUGAAUUUACUUAUGUCUGCUUUGGAUUAGUGAUGUAUUUUGCCAUGGGAAAUAAAUCAAGUUGAAAUGGCUUCAUGCUAGCUUCCCUUUU